rnacentral:lncRNA from 12 species
GAAGAACACAGCAGUACCUCUCUGCAGCUCCUUCCUUGCUCCUGAGGAUUUUAUCUUGCUCCAGGCUGGGAUUCUCUCCAUGGGACAUGGAGCUCCUCAGGGAGCAGCUGCCUGCUGUGUUACAGAGCCCUCCACAGCCUGUGAGGAAAGAGAAGAAACCUCUGCUCAGGAAGGCCCAUGGAGAGGAAUGGCCAAGCAUCUCACUUCAUCACUCUGACGACAUUCGUUAACAAUGUCACCUUUCCUUUAAACCCAGAGUUUGCUCUAAGAAAUCUAUUUUUUGA